UACGUAGGGUGCAAGCGUUGUCCGGAUUUAUUGGGCGUAAAGAGCGUGUAGGCGGCCACACAGGUCUGCUGUGAAAACUUGAGGCUCAACCUCGAGCUGUCGGUGGAAACCGUGUGGCUAGAGUCCGGAAGAGGAGAGUGGAAUUCCCGGUGUAGCGGUGAAAUGCGCAGAUAUCGGGAAGAACACCCGUGGCGAAGGCGGCUCUCUGGGACGGUACUGACGCUGAGGUGCGAAAGCGUGGGGAGCAAACAGG
rnacentral:rRNA from 1 species